UACUCUUUAACGCCAACCGCUUUCUAUCUCCCCUCCUUUUGCUCUACCUACCUUUCACAAUUUCGAAACAUCAACCCUUUAGCUUUCUAACGCCAACCUCUAUCUCUUCAAAAGACAGUUUCAAAACUCCUGACUUGCAGCUUUCUACCGCCAACCUCUAUCUCUUCCAAAGACAGUUUCAAAAAUUCAGACUUUUAGCUUUCUAACGCCAACCUCUUUCUCUUCUCUCCAUCUCUUAUUCAGGUAUCUCUGAAUCUCAAUUGUAAAUAAAAUGAAAUGGAUAUUGUAAAAUAAUUUUCAGUUGAGGAUGCGUUGAUGGGUCUCCAUGGUUAUUGAAAAUUGUUUUGAAAAGUUUUUUUUUGGGUGAAAUUAUUUCAAUAGUGUUAUCUGUCUAUAUUGUGAAUAUUCCAACGCAGUGGCUUAGGCUCCAGGAAAAAAUAUGUUGGAAAUAUCAGAGACUUGACAGCCCCAAAAUCCCAAUGUAAAUACCACAGACUACCUCUGGUAGUCAUCCAACAGUGUUCAACAGCCCCAAAAUCCCAGUAUAAAUACCCACAGAAAGCCUCUGGUAGCCUUCUAACAUCAUUGUUUCAAUUGUUUAUUAAUGGAUUGCCUACAAUGUGUUUGAUUAUAGUUGUCAAUAACGUUCACACUGCUCUGUUUCAAAAAAAAAAAAAAAAAUCCUCUUGAAGCAACCAAGGUUUAGAAGAUGGGAAACUUCAAGUCAUGAAGGAUUGGGCUUUCAAGUUAAUCGAAGGUGAUUCAAGUGGGAGGAAUUGGUGGAUGAAGGUUUAAAGAAAAGAUAUAAGAUUCUAGAAGUAGAAUGCUUGGAUCAAGAUUGUCGUAGCAUUGAGCAACUGUGAUAGUUAUUGCUAUUGGCUUAUGUGUAAAUUAAAUGCCUAAAAUAGAGAUAGAUGUGACAACAGUGUUUAUUGAAAUUCUUGAUAAUGUCUGAUUUGCAAAAUAAAUUAGAGCAGAAAGUGGAUUUGUGUA